AACGUACGCUGGCGGCACGCCUAACACAUGCAAGUCGAACGAAGUAGCAAUACUUAGUGGCAGACGGGUGAGUAACAUGUAGGUAUCUGCCCUUUGGCCUGGAAUAACACGAGGAAACUUGUGCUAAUACCGGAUAAGUCUUUACGGAGAAAGCUUUAUGCACCAUUGGAUGGGCCCGCGUUAGAUUAGCUAGUUGGUGGGGUAAUAGCCUACCAAGGCGACGAUCUAUAGCUGGUCUGAGAGGAUGAUCAGCCACAUUGGGACUGAGACACGGCCCAAACUCCUACGGGAGGCAGCAGUGGGGAAUCUUGCACAAUGGAGGAAACUCUGAUGCAGCGAUGCCGCGUGAGUGAAGAAGGCCCUUGGGUUGUAAAGCUCUUUCGUCGGGGAAGAAAAUGACUGUACCCGAAUAAGAAGGUCCGGCUAACUUCGUGCCAGCAGCCGCGGUAAUACGAAGGGACCUAGCGUAGUUCGGAAUUACUGGGCUUAAAGAGUUCGUAGGUGGUUGAAAAAGUUGGUGGUGAAAUCCCAGAGCUUAACUCUGGAACUGCCAUCAAAACUUUUCAGCUAGAGUAUGAUAGAGGAAAGUAGAAUUUCUAGUGUAGAGGUGAAAUUCGUAGAUAUUAGAAAGAAUACCAAUUGCGAAGGCAGCUUUCUGGAUCAUUACUGACACUGAGGAACGAAAGCAUGGGUAGCGAAGAGGAUUAGAUACCCUCGUAGUCCAUGCCGUAAACGAUGUGUGUUAGACGUUGGAAAUUUAUUUUCAGUGUCGCAGCGAAAGCGAUAAACACACCGCCUGGGGAGUACGACCGCAAGGUUA
rnacentral:rRNA from 1 species